GUGCUCACUUCGGCAGCACAUAUACUAAAAUUGGAACAAUAUGGAGAUUAGCAUGGCCCCUGCCCAAGGAUGACAUGCAAAUUCGUGAAGCAUUUCAUGAAAAG